GACGAACGCUGGCGGCGUGCUUAACACAUGCAAGUCGAACGGAAAGGCCCCUUUGGGGGUACUCGAGUGGCGAACGGGUGCGUAACACGUGAGUAACCUGCCCUUGACUUCGGGAUAACUUCAGGAAACUGGGGCUAAUACCGGAUAGGAAUCCUUGCUGCAUGGUGGGGGUUGGAAAGCUUCGGCGGUUUUGGAUGGACUCGCGGCUUAUCAGCUUGUUGGUGGGGUAGUGGCUUACCAAGGCUUUGACGGGUAGCCGGCCUGAGAGGGCGACCGGCCACAUUGGGACUGAGAUACGGCCCAGACUCUUACGGGAGGCAGCAGUGGGGAAUAUUGCACAAUGGGCGGAAGCCUGAUGCAGCAACGCCGCGUGCGGGAUGACGGCCUUCGGGUUGUAAACCGCUUUCAGCAGGGGCGAAGCUUGUGGUGACGGUACCUGCAGAAGAAGCACCGGCUAACUACGUG
rnacentral:rRNA from 1 species